rnacentral:tRNA from 1 species
CCUGUUGGCAGACCAAUGCAUUAGAAUUAGAAUCUAAUUAUCC